ACUCUCAUAGGAUUCCUUUUGAGCAGCCUGCCUUAUCACCCAUUGGACAACACACUCUCAUAGCAUUUCUAUGAGUAGCCUGUCUCAUUAUUAUUUGGAUAAUACACUCUUAUAGGUAAACCAUUUCUAUGAGUAGCCUACCCUCAAUGAUAUCAAUAAGCCCUCACGGGCAUCUAAGUAAGAAUCAGCCAUGUGGAAAAUCAAACCAUGCAAA
rnacentral:lncRNA from 1 species